UAAAGUCUAAUCUGCCCACUGAUAUAAUAUUAAAGGGGUGCAGUAUUUUGAGUGUACAAAGGUAGCAUAAUCAUUAGUCUUUUAAUUGAAGACUUGUAUGAAUGAUUGGAUGAAAUAUAAACUGUCUCUAAUAUUAUUAGUUAGAAUUUAAUUUUUUUAUUAAAAAGUAAAAAUAAAUUUAAAAGACGAGAAGACCCUAUAGAGUUUUAUAAUUAAUUUAAUUGAAAUUAUUUAUAAAGAUAAUUUUAAAUUAAUAAAUUAAAAUUAAGUUAAUUAUUUUGUUGGGGUGAUAAAAAAAUAAAAAUAACUUUUUUUAAUAAAUAUAUAUAUAUAUAUAUAUAUAUAUAUAUAUAUUGUAAACAAAAAUAAAUGAUUUUUUGAUCCAGAAUUUUUGAUUAUAAGAAAAAAUUACCUUAGGGAUAACAGCGUAAUUUUUUUUUUUAGUUCAAAUAAGAAAAAGAGUUUGCGACCUCGAUGUUGGAUUAAGGAAAAAUUUAAAUGCAAAAGUUUAAAAUUUUG
rnacentral:rRNA from 1 species